rnacentral:rRNA from 1 species
AAGGUAGCAUAAUCAUUAGCCUACUAAUUAUAGGCUGGAAUCAACGGUUAGACGAGGAAGAUACUGUCUCUUAUUAUUUUAAUCUAAAUUUAGGUUAGGGUGAAGACUCCCUAAUUACCUAGCGGGACGAGAAGACCCUAUUGAGCUUUAGUUAAAGUUAAAAUAAACUAACCAUACUUUGGUUGGGGCAACCGCAAAACUAUUAAACAUUGCUUAUCAUAAAUAAAUUGAUUUAUACCAAACCUUAUAAAAAAUAAGAAAAAGAACAAGUUACCUUAGGGAUAACAGCGUAAUUUUUCUUGAGAGUCCAUAUUGACAGAAAAGUUUGCGACCUCGAUGUUGAAUCAAGAAUCUCCUGGGGGUGCAGAAGCUCCCAAAGGUUGGUUUGUUCAACCAUAAAAGUCUUACGUGAUC